CCGCCUUGGGAUUACAAUGAAGGCCAAGCUCGCUCGGCUGGAGGCCCAGGAGCAGGCCUUCCUGGCUCAUCUUAAAGGCAAGGCCUCUCAGGCCUCUCAACCACAGUCAGAGAGCAAGCCGCCCAAAAAGAAGAAAAAGAAAAGAAAGCAGAAAGAGGAGGAAGAGGCUACAGCAACUGAAAGGAAUGCAGAUGAAAAGUGCCCAGAACACACCAUCCAGAGCAUCAGGAAAAGCAAAAAGAAGAAAAGACACCACCAAGAAGAAAAGGUCUCCUAUCCGACAGUGGGGACAGCUGUAGGGGAUAAGGAGGAAGAGGCUACAGGAACAGGUGGGCUGAGGGAAUUCAGCAGAGAGCCAACUGAUCAGUCUUCCAGGAAAAGGAAGAGAAAAAAGAAGCAUCGCCAUGAAGAAAAGAAGAUGGGGGUCUUGGAUGAAAGAGGAAGAGGUAAGGAGGCUACCAGUGCUGUCAGGAUAGAGGGAGAAAACACAGCGCAUACUGACCCAUGCAGCAGAAGCAAGAAGAGGCGGCACUAUGAGAAUUUGAACUUAGAAGACAAUGAACUCGAGGAAACCAUUUUAGACAUUGGGAUCAGGGAAACAGAGGACAGAGCACACAGAGAUAGGAGAAGCAAGGGAAGCAAGAAGAGAACACAGCAGCUUGGAGAUAGGGAUGUGAGGGACAGAAGAGGUAAGA